AUACGGAGGAUGCGAGCGUUAUCCGGAUUUAUUGGGUUUAAAGGGUGCGUAGGCGGACGAUUAAGUCAGCUGUGAAAUGCCCGCGCUUAACGCGGGAAGUGCAGUUGAUACUGGUUGUCUGGAGUGCAGUAGAGGUAGGCGGAAUUCGUGGUGUAGCGGUGAAAUGCUUAGAUAUCACGAAGAACUCCGAUUGCGAAGGCAGCUUACUGGACUGUAACUGACGCUGAUGCUCGAAAGUGUGGGUAUCAAACAGGAUUAGAUACCCUGGUAGUCCACACAGUAAACGAUGAAUACUCGCUGUUUGCGAUAUACGGCAAGCGGCCAAGCGAAAGCAUUAAGUAUUCCACCUGGGGAGUACGCCGGCAACGGUGAAACUCAAAGGAAUUGACGGGG
rnacentral:rRNA from 1 species